rnacentral:sRNA from 1 species
UAAAAUGACUGAUUAAAGGAUAAAAUAAAACAAAUCUCUAUAUUCUUUUUUACAAUCUCUUUUUUUUAGUAAAAUGUUAAAUUUUAUAUCAUUUUAAAUUUUUGACAGAAGUUAUAAAGAGAACUGAGAACGGAUUAAAGCAAUUUACAGAAAAGUAAAAUAAUAUUACUACUCUAAUUGUAUACGAUUGCUCAAGAGCGCAUACCAGUAAAUCGCAAAGAAAAACACCAAUUCCAAAUCUACUAAACUCGGAAAUUUGUGUGGUUGUCACAGAACCAACAUUCUAAAAUUCUCAUUCUAAUUGUUAUGAGCGGAAAUAUGUUUACUAAUUUAGCGGAAAUAUUUGAUGAUACUAGUUUUACUUUUGAUUUUUUGAA